rnacentral:lncRNA from 1 species
GAAUAAAGUCAGGUCACGGAGCCAGCAGCGGCAACCCGCUGGGGUCUCCGUUUCAGGCUGUGGAAGCUUUGUUGUUUCAGUCUUUGCAAUAAAUCUUGCUGCUGUUCACCCUUUGGGUUUGUGCGGCUUUUAUGAGCUGUAACACUCCCCGAGAAGGUCUGCAGUUCCACUCCUGAAGCCAGCGAGACUGGGAACCCACUGGGAGGGAGGAACAACUCCAGACGGGAGACACGAACAACUCUGGACGCGCCAUCUUUAUGAACCGUAAAAGUCACUGCGAGGGUCUGCGGCUUCAUUCUUGAAGUCAGCGAGACCAAGAACCCACCAAUUCCGGACACGAUCUGACUUAUCCUUGUAUGUGCUAAACUCAGUCUCUACCCACAAGUGGAUUUGUAACUGGUUAAUCUGUCCAUUGGGAAUGUUUACUGUGGGCCUACCAUGUACCAGGGACUACACCAUGCUAGGAAGACCUGCAUAGAGUUUACAGCUGGUCCUAGGCGAUGCUGAUGCUGCAGGCCCAAGGAUCACACCUGGAGAAGCAUGGACACCUUGUUGUAAACAGAAGAUCUACUGCUGACCACAAGCUAGCAGCCAUGAGCUAUGGCUGAUGUAAGGAAGGACACAGAAGAACAGACCAGCCAGGUUCAUCAGACGCAUUUCUAAGA